AACGUAGGUGGCGAGCGUUAUCCGGAUUUACUGGGCGUAAAGGGUGUGCAGGCGGGCUGUUAAGUGGUGUAUGAAAUAUCCCGGCUCAACCGGGAGAGGUUAUGCCAGACUGGCAGUCUAGAGAGCGAGAGAGGGACGUGGAAUUCCGGGUGUAGUGGUGAAAUGCGCAGAUAUCAGGAGGAACACCGGUGGCGAAGGCGGGUCUCUGGGCCGAUACUGACGCUGAGACGCGAAAGCGUGGGGAGCGAACAGG
rnacentral:rRNA from 1 species